rnacentral:rRNA from 1 species
GACGAACGCUGGCGGCAGGCCUAACACAUGCAAGUCGAACGCUCCGCAAGGGGAGUGGCGCACGGGUGAGUAACACGUGGGAACCUACCUUCUGGUACGGAACAACCAAGGGAAACUUUGGCUAAGACCGUAUACGACCUCCGGGUGAAAGAUUGAUCGCCGGAAGAGGGGCCCGCGUCCGAUUAGGUAGUUGGUGAGGUAACGGCUCACCAAGCCUUCGAUCGGUAGCUGGUCUGAGAGGAUGACCAGCCACACUGGGGACUGAGACACGGCCCAGACUCCUACGGGAGGCAGCAGUGGGGAAUAUUGGACAAUGGGCGCAAGCCUGAUCCAGCGAUGCCGCGUGUGUGAAGAAGGCCUGCGGGUUGUAAAGCACUUUCAGUAAGGGAAGAAAACCCGAGUGCUAAUAUCACUCGGUCUUG